ACGGGAGGCAGCAGUGAGGAAUAUUGGUCAAUGGACGGAAGUCUGAACCAGCCAUGCCGCGUGCAGGAAUAAGGCCCUAUGGGUCGUAAACUGCUUUUGUGGUGGAGCAAUAAGGGCUACGCGUAGCCCGAUGAGAGUACAUCACGAAUAAGCAUCGGCUAACUCCGUGCCAGCAGCCGCGGUAAUACGGAGGAUGCAAGCGUUAUCCGGAUUUAUUGGGUUUAAAGGGAGCGUAGGCGGAAGGUCAAGUCAGCUGUGAAAUGUAGUCGCUCAACGUCUGCACUGCAGUUGAAACUGGCCUCCUUGAGUGCGUAAGAGGCAGGCGGAAUUCGUCGUGUAGCGGUGAAAUGCUUAGAUAUGACGAAGAACUCCGAUUGCGAAGGCAGCUUGCUGGGCCGCAACUGACGCUGAAGCUCGAAGGUGCGGGUAUCGAACAGGAUUAGAUACCCUGGUA
rnacentral:rRNA from 1 species